GUUGCUUUAGAAAUAUCCGAUAAAACUGAAAUGAUAUAGAGAAGAUUAACAUUGUCUCUCUGCAAGGAGGACACACACAAAUUGAGAAUCUGGUCCAGACUUUU
rfam:Medicago truncatula strain A17 chromosome 2, whole genome shotgun sequence.